ensembl:lncRNA
UACUGACUGACUGACUGUACCCACUGGAAGUAGGAUAUAGCACCUACUGACUGACUGACUGUACCAGCUGGAUGUGGGAUCUAGCACCUACUGACUGACUGACUGUACCAGCUGGACAUCGGAUCUAGCACCUACUGACUGACUGACUGUACCAGCUGAAUGUGGAAUCUAGCACCUACUGACUGACUGACUACUGGAUGUGGGAUCUAGCAGCUACUGACUGACUGUACCAGCUGGACUUGGGAUAUAACACCUACUGACUGACUGUACCGGCUGGAUGUGGGAUCUAGCACCUACUGACUGACUGACUGUACCAGCUAGACAUGGGAUAUAACAUCUACUGACUUACUGACUGUACCGGAUGGAUGUGGGAUCUAGCACCUACUGACUGACUGACUGUACCAGCUGAAUGUGGAAUCUAGCACCUACUGACUGACUGACUACUGGAUGUGGGAUCUAGCAGCUACUGACUGACUGUACCAGCUGGACUUGGGAUAUAACACCUACUGACUGACUGUACCAGCUGGACUUGGGAUAUAACACCUACUGACUGACUCUUCCAGCUGAGGAUGGGAUCUAUCACGUACUGACUGAGUGUACCAGCUGAGGAUGGGAUCUAGCCCUAACUCUGACUGACUGUACCAGAUGAGGACAGGAUCUAGCACGUACUGACUGACUGUGCCAGCUGAUUAAAUCACUUACUGACUGUACCAGCUGAUUACAUAACUGACUGACUCUACCAGCUGGCACGGCGAUGGGAUCUAACACCUACUAACUGUCUGACUGACGGACUUUCUGACCGACUGUCUGACUGAUUAGCUGGCUGACUGGCUAGGCUGACUGGCUAGGCUGACUGACUGACUGACUGACUGACUGGCUGGCUGGCUGGCUGGCUGGCUGGCUGGCUGACUUCCUGACUGAUUGGCUGGCUGGCUGACUGGCUGGCUGAUUGGCUGGCUGACUGAUUGGCUGAUUGGCUGGCUGGCUGACUGGCUGGCUGACUGGCUGGCUGGCUGACUGAUUGGCUGGCUGAUUGGCUGGCUGGCUGACUGGCUGGCUGACUUCCUGACUGAUUGGCUGGCUGGCUGACUGACUGGCUGACUGUCCUUCCAUUGCCUUCUCUCCCCGGGGAUUCAGACGGGAAAACAAAGCCAGAGAACUUGAACCAACUGUAAUGUAACUAGUUAAAGCAGGCGACACACUUGAGUCUGUCUGUCUGUCUGUCUGUUAAAGUCAUGAUUAUUCAAUACUACCAUAAUUAUAUUAUUCUAUUGAUCUGUUAUAGUCAUGAUUAUUCAAUACCACCAUAAUUAUAUUAUUCUGUUGAUAUUGUUGGGGUUGUGAACGUACAGUACAGUAAGAGACUAUUGUUUGUGGAUACUGUACUUUUUAAAGACGAAGCUGAGAACACUGCUGCUACCUGACGGUGACUGUAACAUUAGGUCUGUACGGUGCCCAUAUUAGGACAGCGUCAGUCUCAGCAGGCGUUAUUAGGUCCUGAUCAGACUGAGGAUGUCCUAAUACAGACACCAUAGGUGUGUUAUUUAAUGAUGGUCUGCAUUCCAAAUGGCACCUUGUUCCCUUUGUAGCUGAACUAUUGUUGACCAGAGCCUACGGUGUUGACCAGGUCCUACAGUGUUGACCAGGGCCUACAGUGUUGACCAGAGCCUACGGUGUUGACCAGGUCCUACAGUGUUGACCAGGGCCUACAGUGUUGACCAGGGCCUACAGUGUUGACCAGAGCCUACGGUGUUGACCAGGUCCUACAGUGUUGACCAGGGCCUACAGUGUUGACCAGGUCCUACGGUGUUGACCAGGGCCUACAGUGUUGACCAGGGCCUACAGUGUUGACCAGGGCCUACGGUGUUGACCAGGUCCUACGGUGUUGACCAGGGCCUACAGUGUUGACCAGGGCCUACGGUGUUGACCAGGUCCUACGGUGUUGACCAGGGCCUACAGUGUUGACCAGGGCCUACGGUGUUGACCAGGUCCUACAGUGUUGACCAGGGUCUACAGUGUUGACCAGGGUCUACAGUGUUGACCAGGGCCUACAGUGUUGACCAGGGCCUACGGCUGCUGGUGUUGACCAGAUGCUACGGCUGCUGGUGUUGACCAGAUCCUACGGCUGCUGGUGUUGACCAGGUCCUACGGCUGCUGGUGUUGACCAGGUCCUACGGCUGCUGGUGUUGACCAGGUCCUACGGCUGCUGGUCAACAUAGUGUACUCUAUGGGGAACAGGAUGCCAUGUGGAACACAGCCCCUAUUGAAGACCUUUCUAGCUAUGUUGGUUCUGUUGUUUGUGCACGGAAAUGGAAUUAAAUACAACAAGGGCACGUUUUUGUUAUUUUUCAACAUAAUAUAUUUUGCACUGAGACACAAAAAUGUGUUAAUACUGUACAUUUUGUUUUUAGAUGCGUGUAUAAAGCCUCACCAGUGCCACAUAGUUCAAAUGUAUAAAAUAUUGUUGUACUGUGGAAUGUUAAUAGUCUUUUGGAUUGCAAUGUAUUGCCUUUACACACAGUCUGCUGGUUGUCAACACUAUAGGCCAUAAAGGAGGGGCAUCUGACUGCUAUAGAAUUACCGGCCAUAAAGGAGGGGCAUCUGACUGCUAUAGAAUUACCGGCCAUAAAGGAGGGGCAUCUGACUGCUAUAGAAUUACCGGCAUC